rnacentral:rRNA from 1 species
CAGGUCGAGUUGUAAUUUGAAGAUACGUUUUUGACGUUCCGGGUUGAACUAAAUCCUUUGGGAUAAGGUAUCAUGGAGGGUGAGAAUCCCGUAUAUACCAACCGUAGGGAUGUUAUUUAAUACGUUUCUAAGAGUCGAGUUGUUUGGGAAUGCAGCUCUAAAUGGGUGGUAAAUUUCACCUAAUGCUAAAUAUAAGCGAGAGACCGAUAGYGAACAAGUACAGUGAUGGAAAGAUGAAAAGAACUUUGAAAAGAGAGUUAAAUAGUAYGUGAAAUUGUUGAAAGGGAAACGAUUGAAGUCAGUCAUGCCRGUGGGAAUCAACUUAGAGGAAACUCUGAGUGCACUUCUUCGCUUGGCAGGUCAACGUCGAUUUUGGAUGUCAUAAAAUGAUUGGGGGAAGGUAGCUCCUUCGGGAGUGUUAUAGCCCUUGGUAGAUGUGAUGUCUGGGAUCGAGGAUUGCAAUGGAUACCCUUUGGGGCUAGCCGCCUGAUCUCUAAUYGGUAUUGGGUUACGGAUAGCAUGCUGACCGUGAUCUAAUUAUUGGUUAAAAG